rnacentral:piRNA from 1 species
UACAAGAGGCCUUGUUGAGGAAGUGU